rnacentral:rRNA from 1 species
CAUAGGUUAAUGAGGCGAACCGGGGGAACUGAAACAUCUAAGUACCCCGAGGAAAAGAAAUCAACCGAGAUUCCCCCAGUAGCGGCGAGCGAACGGGGAGGAGCCCAGAGCCUGAAUCAGUGUGUGUGUUAGUGGAAGCGUCUGGAAAGGCGCGCGAUACAGGGUGACAGCCCCGUACACAAAAAUGCACAUGCUGUGAGCUCGAUGAGUAGGGCGGGACACGUGGUAUCCUGUCUGAAUAUGGGGGGACCAUCCUCCAAGGCUAAAUACUCCUGACUGACCGAUAGUGAACCAGUA